ensembl:misc_RNA 7SK 7SK RNA
GGAUGUUAGAGCAAUCUGACAGUGACAUCUGCCACUCCAUUUAUGCCAAGUUUGAUUCGAGGGAUUUGGAUGGCUGAGAAGUGUCCAGUGAUUCCCUCACUGUUCUAUAUUUGUCAUCCUGCCUUAGGGAAUGGCUGUGUCUUCAGAUGUUAGCUAAGUCAAAGAGGGUAAUAAUUUCAGAGAGUGGAAAACCACACUGUAGUCCAAGCUACAGAAUUAGUUGAACACUCCUGCUAGGACCUUAAAACCAAUGUACGAGUUCAUACGGAAAUGCCAAUUUCAGUUCUACU